rnacentral:rRNA from 1 species
GAUGAACGCUGGCGGCGUGCCUAAUACAUGCAAGUCGAGCGAGCAGACGAGGAGCUUGCUCCUCUGACGUUAGCGGCGGACGGGUGAGUAACACGUGGAUAACCUACCUAUAAGACUGGGAUAACUUCGGGAAACCGGAGCUAAUACCGGAUAAUAUAUUGAACCGCAUGGUUCAAUAGUGAAAGACGGUUUUGCUGUCACUUACAGAUGGAUCCGCGCCGCAUUAGCUAGUUGGUAAGGUAACGGCUUACCAAGGCGACGAUGCGUAGCCGACCUGAGAGGGUGAUCGGCCACACUGGAACUGAGACACGGUCCAGACUCCUACGGGAGGCAGCAGUAGGGAAUCUUCCGCAAUGGGCGAAAGCCUGACGGAGCAACGCCGCGUGAGUGAUGAAGGUCUUCGGAUCGUAAAACUCUGUUAUUAGGGAAGAACAAAUGUGUAAGUAACUAUGCACGUCUUGACGGUACCUAAUCAGAAAGCCACGGCUAACUACGUG